ACUGAGUAUACUGGGCCCAGCCAGAUUCUCUGGGUGCUUUCUUCUUUCUUAGUUCCCCCUUUAUUGUGGGCCCUCCUCAGUGCCAACAUUGCUUUGUCUCUCGCUGGAGAAGCCUGUGAGAACGAGGAUGGGCAAAGUGUCAGGCUCUUGGUGCAGCUGAAAAUCCUUUGAGAUGGAAGAAAUGGCUGGAACAAAGGGGCAGAGGAACAAAAAGCCCUGAACUGCUUCGCCCCUGCCUCGUGGGGUCUUUAUCAUCUUAAACCUUGGGAUUUGGGCUUUGAUCAACUCGGCCUUCCUGGGCCUCGGGGAGAGAGACGGACUGCCUCCGGGUGCUCAUGACCUUUCCAGCAGUAAGCCAAUAAUGUAUGACUCCUGCGUUGCCGUUGCUCGUUUGAGGAACAUCUGUCCAGUCCCUGGGAUGGUGAGGCUAUAACCACAAAGGAAUAAGAGAAGACGACUAGUUUUGUAAUGGGAUUUGCUCUCUUUUGAGGAUCAAGAGCCACAGAAUGCUAAAGGGAGGCAGAGUCUCGGAGGUCCCCUGUGAAGUGGGAAAUCACCUGGAUGCAGUGGGGCCCUUCAAGUGCAUCACCAAAAAAAACCAUCCCAGAAGGGACAUUGGCUGCUGUCUUCUGACCCACCCUGUGUGGCUUUGGCGUCUCCUGUGACCUCCCAGUAUGGGUCUUGGCCUCAUCCUGCCUCUUUGUCUUUCUGGCCCACCACCCACAGCUUGAAUCUCAGGCUCCAACAGUUGCCUGACCCCCAGAUUCUGAUGACAGCCUACCUACUUGUUCUUCAGGCCCUCACCAGACUCACUGCCCAGACACACCACACAGGAGAACAUGAAAGGCUUUGAAUGAUGCAUUGGCCCACGUGGACCACCUUCCAUUUCCCAAGACUUUUUGAAGGCAAUGAAUGAGAAGAAAGCAGAGAAAACAGUGGGCGUGAGGUCAGAUGACUCAGGCUUGAGUACUGAUCACAUCAAGGAUUGGACGCACUGCUCUUAGGAAGGCACAACUUCUACUACUUUCAGUCUUAUCAACUGUGAGAGUGUACCCUUGCUGUAGAUGCCACCCGCCCAGCAGUCCUCAUCAUCUUGGCCCAGGAUCACCUGAAACAGAUGAUCCUCCUUUUGAGCUACCAUCAGAAGGUCCACAGUACUAGCCCAGCGCUACAUCCCAAUGCCUACGCCAUUCAUCUCACCUCAUCUCAUCACGUAGACAUUUCAUCAUGUCACAUCAUCACAAGAAGG
rnacentral:lncRNA from 10 species